AUCCUCUCCCUCUCAUUUUUUUCCCGUGCCUCUCCCACACGGCCACUGCCCCCAGUCCACCACCACGUCCACGCCGUCGUCGUGCCGUCCUCCUUCUUUCCCUACCACGCACGUCCCGGUGCUGCCGUCAGGCGCGUGCGUCCCCAUGACACUGCUUCCGCGCGCCGCUGCCGCAGCGCGUGGGUUCCAAGUCAAGGUGGCGGCAGGCGGGGCUGGGGCCGGGGAGAGCGAACGACGCGGGAGGAGGGAGGAUAAGGGCGGCCACGGCACGGGCCUGAGCUGCGGAAGCGAGGUAGCGGCGGCGUUUGGUUCGGGCGGUGCACUGGGCUUGGGGAUUGGCAGCGCGGGCUUGAGGAUGAGGAUUAUGGCACAGGCCGAGGAGGCGCGGGUGAUGCUGCUGCAGGACGAGGAGGCGCGGGUGACGCUGCUGCAGGACGAGGAGGCGGGCGGCAAGUGGAGCUCCAGGCCGCACCGCAUUGCUCUCUUCGUCGAGCCGUCGCUCUUCGCAUCAAUCCACGCCCUCCUCUUCUCAAGCGCGCAGCUAGUCAGUCUGAUUAGAGUAGAUCACAUCGAGGUAUAUGGAGGUGACAACGGUAAAGUCCAGAUGUUUCGUGUAUUUAUUUCAUUUGUUUCAAUUGUUCGUUUCUCUUGUUGCGGAUUUUAUUCACUUCUCUAGGAUUUCCAUUCUGAUUUUUGCUUGCCCCUCUCUUUAGGAUUUGUGAUGUUUCAAUAUUUAAUUUUGCAUGUUGCAAUAGUUGAUUUGAGAUGUUAAGGUGGGAAUUGGUGUUGCCAUGGGGGUAUCUUUCUUCCUCGCUGGUUGACUUCUUGAAGGCAACGCUUUCAUGUUGCAGCUCAAUAAAUUUGAUGUUGCAGUAGCCUUGUUCUGAUGUUUCAACUGGAUCGAUGGAGAUAGUGAUGGCAUCCAUACUUGCAUCCAUACAUGUUUCAACGAGUAAAUCGAUUUGUUGCGGAGCUUUUUACUGGAUGCUGGAAGAGCAAAAUGAAUUGCUGCGAUAGAUUUAUCCGAAUGUUUCAGAAUUGGAUCCGGUUCUAUUUUCCUGUACAACUCAACUUGAACUCAACUGGAUCGAUGGUGACGGUGAUGCUAUGUUCAAGGUUGCAGUAGCAUUUUUUAUGGAUGUCGCAUGUGCUUUUUUUCGUUGUUGCAAUAAGUUUUCCGGCAGUGACUGAGUUUUUUUAUUAUAUUCUUGAUAUUGCACAGAUUAUUUUAUAAUAUUGCGGAUGCAAUUUUUUAUGGUGUAUGAACUAUUUUCAUCUUCUCCAAAUCUCCAACCAAUCAUCUCUCUGCCCAUUGAGCCGCGUGACGUUGGGUCCCUCCUCUCUCGUGAUGAAGCAGCAGUAUAGGGGCUCACAGUGGUAGGACAAUGUGCGCGCACAGGUGGUUGGGUAAUAAUUAAUAUGGGACCCACCAUCCGACGGCCAGCGCUCGGAUCGGACGUCCGGGCGCUAGCCGUACCGAAGAAUUUAAUGAAUCUUAAUUUUAUCAAUGUUUCUAUUGUUUUCAGUCCUACUAUCAUAAGGCUGUGCAUGCUUGGGGUCAUAGUAGUCUUGUGGAAGUUGGUGGCGGUGGCCGACACAUAGGUGUAACCGUGCAAGGAUCGAGCAAACUUGGAGGAUCCAUGAACCAUGAUCACGAGUCGUAAUCAAAAUUAGGAAGGAUUGGAUGUUAUCUUGGUUAAGUUUUUGCUAAAUGGAUUUUCUCA